rnacentral:rRNA from 1 species
CUUUAGUGCUCCGUUGAGUACUCGCAGGCAGCAGGAGAAGGCCAGAAGGGGUUAGUGUAGGGUAGGGUUGGGUUAUUUGCUCUUAAGGCAUUUACGGGGGACCAAGGCUCCGCAGUUGGGAAGCGGAUUUUUGUGGAAGGGAGGGAUGGGAGGUAGGGGGGAGAAGGCGGGCGCCGCCGAGUUUGAAUUUGGGAUCUCGGCGAGGGGAGGAGCGGAGGAGUCGCGAGCGGUAGGCUAAGCGGUCAGGGGUUAGGGGGGUCCCUCCUCGAAGGCGCUUCCGUUCAGGCGACGACGCCAGUACCGAGCGCAGAUGCACCCCUUAGACCUAGGCGCGCGGUGACGUGCGCUCUAGCUCCUGCUCAAGGCGCACAAACCCCAAGAGUUCUCACACACCCAACGAUCUUUCGGCGGUCCUAAACGAAAGUAACUGAAGCUACUCUGGUCCCUGCGUUUCCUACGUUAAGCACUUAACCUACCGUUCUUACCCACCUCUCAACUCGACAGUUGUUUUAGACCAUCACCGGCACCGGCUCUUGCACUUGCGAGACCUCCAAGACUAUACUUCACGAUACUCACACCACUUUCACCGGUGAAACGUGCUCUUACAGCGGAUGCCUAACCAAGACCCCCGGACCCAUCGCCUUCUGCGGCGUCGGCUUCGGGCUCCGUGGCGUCGGCAUCGACAUCGGGUUCUAUGGCGUCCUCGGGUUCGAUACCGUCUUCCUCGAUGUCAGGUGCCCUAGCCAGAGGGUCCUUCGCUUCAAUGUCGUCCAGAGGUGGCGGACGGGCACGCGCUUCGUGGUCGUCCAGAGGUGGCGGACGGGCACCCGCUUCGUAGUCGUCCAGUGGCGGCGGACGGGCACGCGCUUCGUAGUCGUCCAGUGGAGGCGGAGGAGCGUUGUCUUCGUAGUCGUCCAGUGGUGGCGGAGGAGCACGGUCUUCGUAGUCGUUCAGUGGUGGCGGACGGGCACUUGCCUCGAUAUCGUCCAGGGGUCGUGUCGGUGGGGUCGCGCUCCUCAGGGGAAUACGACUAUUGCGCACUCGUGAACCAAGGUGUUACGACCUUCACAACCCCCCACCCCCGGAGGCGAACAAAGGAACUUACAAAACCAUACUGAUAACUUACCGGUCCGCCGGCUCAUAACAAGAAGGAACCGUAAACACAAGAAAACGACGACUAUGUUAACGCCUUCGCCCUAAAGAGAACUGACCUACUGAGAUCGCAUACAUCAACCAGAAUUCUGUUCUAUACAAAAGAAAAAGAAAUUGUAAACAUGACAAACUAAUAAGCCUACGGCACGUACCUAAAAAUACACGACUACUUUGACAAAGAACUUAGAAUUACACAGUGGCAGAACAAU